AAUCCUCCAGAGUGUCACAUCACCGGGAGAGCGUAAUGCCAGUCCUUGGAUUGCCAAAUCUGGAUUGGGCAAGACUUCUUCACGCUUGUGGGAGUGUGAAACAGCUUUCCUUUUACCUCCUCUCUGCUGUUCCUUCCACUAUCAAAACUCUGAUUAUAAGCACCAAACUCAUUGAUGCUCGAUACUGGAAACAGCAACAAAAUGCCAGAAGUUGCAGAACGGUUGAAGAAAAUUAAUGAUCUUUUCUUUAUGACACCAGGACACUCACUUUGUCGGAGAAAGACUAAUGUUUAAUUUAAUUUGACUUCUUGUGGUCUCCUGUUAUUAACUGAACUGAGUCUAGUAGAUAAAGUGUUUGUUGUCUAAACAUCUAUUUUCCUUGUUUUGUCCUCUGAUGUUGGUCAUACUGUGUGUUUAAGCAUUUUGUAAUUAUGAGAAAAUAUUUUCUUAAAAAAAGAAACCAGACCAGUGACAAAUCAAGCUCAGUGUUCCCUAUGCUGACUGGAAGCAGCUCUCUGAGGGCUCAGAGGAAGGCCUUUUCGUAGCACUUGCUAUCUGACCUCAUAACUGGAGAUGCCAAGGUUUGAAUCCGGGAUCUUCUGAAUGCGAAGCCAGUCAAGAACGGAAUCUCUGGAAUCUCUACAAUUACCUGAGCAGAUUCCCCACGCUACACCAUUCUGACAAAAAUAGUUCAUACAAAAAUUUCAUAUAUCAGUGGCAGGGAAAUGACAUUCAAAUAGAACGGCCAAAGAAUAAAUAGUAGUCAAAGAAAUUUCUUAAAGUCCCAAAACGGAGAUGCAGUAACAGUCUCUUGAAGAACAGUGAUGGACCUUUUUUCCAAGGAAAUGUUUAUAAUGAUGCUCUCAUCUUAUUUUAAUAUCGUUUGGACCGAACAAGGAAAGGUGGCAGACAUCAAGGAAUGAAGACCUGGCAAGGAGCCGGUCAUCAAAACGCUUGUUUCCAAACUGCAUCAGGGGGUCAACAUACCUCCCAGCCAAAUCUCCAGAAUCUGCAAUAAAAUCCAUUGUAUCUAAUAAAAUCAUAAAGUCUUUUUA